UUAUUUAAGAAAAAAAAAACUCUCAUCUAAUAUCACUCAGCUGCCCGUGCCUGUUCUCCCAAAUACCCAAAUAGCUUUCUUUGCUCUCUAGAACAAAUCUCCUCAAUUCGGUGGAUUGAAGCACGAGUGGGAUCUGCUCUUAAGGGUUUCUUUCGUCUCGAUUUCUUCCUGGAGAGUCGACCAGAGACUUUACUUUACGGAUUCUUCUUGGCAUUUUUACCUCUAUUUUCAAGUCAAGCUCCUGUCUUAUUUGAAUUGAUAGAGAACAGGUAGAUGAAUAGAUGGAUUGACUGAGGA